CCUGUCAACUUUCUGAGUUGAUUUCAAAGUUGUGCUGAGAGUUUGGCUGUGAGACGUCGUGUUCCGUCAUACCGAGGUCGGGCUGUGAGACGUCGUGUUCCGUCAUACCGAGGUCGGGCUGUGAGACGUCGUGUUCCGUCAUACCGAGGUCGUGCACUACAGAGCAGAAAUGAAAUCGCUUUUUUUUAUUUUUUUGCUGGCGGUCAGAUGCGGUGCUGCCGUAGGUGUGAUGAGAGAAUAUAUUUUCAUUAACGUUUACAAAAAUUGGACUGAUGCUCAUUCAUAUUGCCAGAUAUACUACAGAAAUCUGGCCGAUGUUAACAGUAUGGAGGAAAACAAUCGCCUUAUGCAGGUUGGAUCCAGUUCCGAAGGUUGGCUCGGACUGCGCAGAGAUUCAUUGGAUCCGACAAAACAUUUUAUAAACUGGUGUUCUUCCUGCCCUAAUACACAUGUCAAUUGUAUUUACAUCCUAACUUCAGGAUUGUGGAAUAGUGGCUACUGCCCGAAGUCUAAGCAGUUCUACUGCGAUCGGUUCCUGAUCCUGGUGAAGGAGAAGAAGACCUGGGAAGAAGCUCGGGAGUUCUGCAGGACUAAUUACACUGGUUUGGUCUCUGUGCCCUCUGAGACAAGUCUGUGGCAGCUGAAUCAAGAGACGGUGGGGACGGAGACAGAGAGUGUGUGGACCGGCCUGCGCUUCAUGGAUGGACAAUGGGUCUGGGCGAACGGGGAGCCGAACAUUCAGCUGGGGAGCCUGGUCUCAAUGCCUUCAUGUCCAGCUCUAUUUUACCGCUGUGGAGCUCUCAACACCACAACAAACACCAUGAAGAACCAGAACUGCAAUGAGAGGCUGAAUUUCAUCUGCUACUGGUAGUGAGUGAUUUUUACACACAUCUCCUUCAGGAAGAUUUUACUGUAUACUGCAUCACACAAUGUAAUCAUUUAAAUUGCUUUACUAAUAUUUAACUGGGUUUUCAUUUUCUGAUAGAGAAGGUUAAUUGGUGGUUUAUUUGAUGAUGUGGAAAUCUGGAUAGUGAUUAGUCAGAAGGUGAUUAUUUUCUAUAAAUUUCUAUUUACUUUUAUAUUAAAGAUUAUGAGAUAAACCUAAAGUCUGAUAACAUUUUAAGUCAUUUUAA